rnacentral:lncRNA from 1 species
GAUCGCUGUCAUCAGUCAAGGCUGCCGGAGGGUUGUUUUCACGAGUUCUCUCAAAUGCUGCAGGAGCUUAGGAACAGAAAACAGGAGCUGCCUUCGAGAUCUGUUCUGGCAUUGGAAGCAUCCCAAGGUUUCCAGGGUGUGAAUACUGACUUGUCAACCAAAGGGCACGCUCCUCAUUCUCUCAAUGCCUAUCCUGCCUCUUCCAACCCAGGGUUGUGCCACCAUUUUAUCCAUUAAGCCCAGCCCCUGCCUUGUCAGUCCCACCCCAAUACACCAAGGACACUGAACUGGGGUUCUGCAGCAUCUUUGCUGAAAAAAAAUGAAAGGAUAGUUUCAAUCCCAUAGCCCCUGUCAUCACCUCUCAUCACACUCUACUGCCAUGAUCUCCUGAAGCAUGUGAACCUCCGUGACCUCCCUCACAAAUGUCCCCAGGCAUUGCUGAUGUGGCUGCAUAGCAUGGAUGGUCAGGAGACUGUCCAGUGAAUCUUGCAAACUCCUCCUCCCCCAACCUCAGCCAGGAGAUCACUCCUGGGUGAAGUCCUCCCAUCUCAAGCACAGUGAGGCUGUGGGUUGCAGGCUUCAGGACUGGCAUUCCUCUUGGGUAAAGCUUGCCCAUCUGCCACUCAAGAAGACUUUGAAAGUUUGAGUGGGGACCUCAUCUUAUUUACCUUGUCUUCAGUGCCCAGGAUGGUGUAAACAACACCCAGCACAUGUGUUCCCAACAGGAUCCUAGAGAGGCUGUUGGUGUGCUAUGGAGAAUACCCCAAACCUCUUCCUUGCCCAUCUCGCUUACAGAGUUGAGCUGCCAGAAGCCAGUCCAGAGCUCGCACUCUGGGCUCAGAGAUCCCCAGUGCCUAUCAGUCUAUUCACCUUCCAGCUCAUGUGAGAACUGUGAAGCCUCCACUUCCUCAAAUACCCACAGCACUGGGCUUUUGCGGGUUGUGAAUGAGAGAAGUGGUCAGGAAGAUGCUCUGCUCUCCCCGGGAGACAUCACCAAAGACACGAGAGGAAACUCUGGCCCAAGCUCACCUGAUGCUCAGAAUAACAGAAUUGAGACUCUAAGCCAGUGAAGGUGGCUGACCUGGGCCUGUACAGGCCAACUGCUCAUCCCUACUGAUAUUCUCACCUCACCUUUUCAGUGUGGGUGGGAAUAAACUGGGU